rnacentral:lncRNA from 1 species
GCAUCUCUAGCCAGGAGCAUGAGUCAGCUCAAAGCAGUGGGCAUUGCAGCCAAGAAUGCAGAACAAACAAGCUCCUUGGGUCUUGUCUUUUUCUCUGCUUCAGAUUUGCAGGUAUAGUAUAGCAGUAUAUUUUUUUUCAACUGAAAAAGACUGGAAUUUGGCAGGCAAAAUCUAUAGAGAUUGAUGGCCCUUUUAAGCCGGGAACCUAAUUAAUUGGCGAAGAUGAUGAAUGCGACUGAGAGUUCUGCUCUGCUGCACCCGGGCUCUCCAUGCACGCCCAGAUCAGGUCAUCUUCAUCAAGGCAUCAACUCAUCUGCCAGUGAGAAGAUUGCCCCUGCACUGCUGAUUCACAAGGACCUUCAGCUCCAGAUUUGAACUGUGGAGACAUCCAACGUUAUGGGCUGAGCAGCUAUCGGUUUCUCAACCCCUCCAGCAUCUAGACAAACACCGUUGGAUAACCCAGGUCAUCUAGGAGUUGGAACUCAGACCCUUCCACAUACUAGACAAACGCUCUACCGCUGAGCCACACCCCCAGCAAUCUUCCUUUCUUGUUUCUUUCUUUCUGGACUUACUGGAUUUGGUCUACCUAAACCAACCUUAUCUGAGUGCAAAAUAGGAAGGAAGAAGUGAACAAACACGGAACUGUCCUCAAAGGCCAUGCGUAGAACAUUGCCACUACUGAUGGCUAGUGUCCUGAAUCCAGGAACUACUCAGGCUGUUUCUUACAAAAGUAUCUUCAUCUCUCCCUCACCGUGGACACCAAGAGUCCUAGAUGACGGAUUCAUUGCCAGAGAUGCCACAUUGGAGGCAUCUUACAAACGAAAAGCAGUUGCACUUUAGCUUUUCUACGUCUGUGUUCAAAUCCAAAGAUAUCCUCAUAGGUUCACGUUUGGAAGUUAAUUGUACCACUGAGCAGCAGGCUCCAGUUAAAUUAAGAAAAUUCUUGGAGGACCGUUGGACUAUCAGAUCAUGUUUCCCAGCAGGUGGCGCUGUUCUGAGACGCUGUGUCGCUUUAGCAGGUGGGGGUCCAGGCUGGCGGAAGUAGGAAAGCAGAACUGGGACUUGGAAAGGGUUGUUCCUAGACCUACUUCCUCUUUCACACCUGGCUUCUUGGUCAGCCAAGAUGUAAACAGCCUCCACCACACACUCCAGCUGCCCUGAACUGGGUAGUCAUGAAUUCUUCAGGUUGGAGUGAACUCUAAAAGUACAAACUGAUACACAUCUUUAAUACUGUGGACUGUUUCUGUCCGGCAUGGUGGUCAUCGAACACUAACGUAUCUAGGUAUGGCUACAUUGCUGUCAAUUACAGGAAAUUAGCCAAGCUCUGUCUCUCUGUCAGAGGCCUAUAUGUUGUGUUAGUUGACAACAGGAAAGCACAGGAACAUCCAGACCGUCAACAAGCUGCCAUUCCUUGAUCCCAGGCUGCAUCAAUCUCUUUUACAUCUUUGCUGUCAAAUUUCAGAGAUGUAAAACUGUGGGAGUUUCUUCAUAGAGCUGAGAUUUAUUUCAUUUUCUUCAUUUUUAAGAUGGUCACAAGUUACCAAUUUUAAAGGAACCAAUGAAAGAAUAUGAAAAUAAAACCUAAUGC